UACAGAGGUCUCAAGCGUUGUUCGGAUUCAUUGGGCGUAAAGGGUGCGUAGGUGGCGCGGUAAGUCGGGUGUGAAAUUUCGGAGCUUAACUCCGAAACUGCAUUCGAUACUGCCGUGCUUGAGGACUGGAGAGGAGACUGGAAUUUACGGUGUAGCGGUGAAAUGCGUAGAUAUCGUAAGGAACAUCAGUGGCGAAAAGCGGCUUCCUGGACCAGAAACUGACGAUCAGGCUCGAAAAGCGUGGGGAGCAAACAGG
rnacentral:rRNA from 1 species